rnacentral:tRNA from 1 species
GUUGUGGUUCAGUGGUAGAGCGCUUGCCUGGCACGUGUGAGGCACUGGGUUCAAUUCUCAGCACCACA